rnacentral:lncRNA from 1 species
AAUGAUCAAGUUGGACCCACAAUGACUUAAAGUUAUAUUUAUGCCUUAUCCAGAAAGCUUUCUUUUCAAGAAGAAAAUGAGUGACUUUAGAAAAUGUAUACAUUGAGAUUACUUUUUAAGGUUAAAAAAUGCCAACAAUAAUGUUAAAAAGUGAUGAUGCUUGAAAUCCUUUAGAUGCUCUAAGUACUGGUAAUAAACAUGUUCUAUUUUAUUUGAGUUUUUACAGAUUGAGAAACUGAAGGACAGAUAAGACUCGACUCUCCUGAAUCCCAGGCCCUUGCUGGGUCCCCACAAGGUGGUGAGGUCCUUGAAGGUAGGAUCUGUUUUAUUGAAACAUCUUUGCAGCCCCUUUAGGUCUGGAACACAGUAGGGACUCAAUAAAUGUCUGUGGAAUUUAACUAUUUCCUGGAAAUGACCAACAAUAUUAAUAUGUUGAACAUGAGGACUUUUAGUAGGAUAAUUAAUAAUUUAAUAAAUAUAUACAUUCUAUAUUUUCCUUAUAUCUUGGUAACCAAAAGGGAAUUACUUGAGCUAGCAAACUGCAGCCAGUAAUGGACAGCAGCAGCCACAUUAAGAAUGUCUUAUUUUCCCAAAGGGAUACGAUUUUCACAUAUGGCAUUAAUUUCUGGGAGUUUGUGAGACAACUGGGACCAUUUGAACAAUUUUACAGAGAUUUAGCUGCUUAUACUGAGCUGUGUUGCUCAACCUGACUUACUCCAAAGCCUGAAAGGAUGUAGUUCAGGUGUGUUUGGCAGCUGAAUGAGGCCACAGUGUUUAGUGUUGGGUUAGCCCGUGAUUCUCCACCAGGCUACGUGUCAGAAUCACCUGUGGAACGUCUUAAUCGAUUCCUAUUUCCAAGGUCCCUCGUUAAACCAGUUAAAUCAGAAUCUCAGGAGUAGGGUCUAGGCAUUACAUUUUUGAAGCUCUCUGGAGGGGUCUCAAAAGAGGCACAAAGAAUGAGUGGUGAGAGGGGAGAGCUCCUUCUUGCUUUCUACAAGCUCCAAGUUUGCUUUUAGCCGAUAGUGUUAGCCCAGUGUUGUUCAAACCUUAAUGUGUACACGUAUCGCCUGGGGAUCUUGCUGAAAUGCAGCUUCUGACUUGGUAGAUCUGGCCUGCCGGUGCAGAUGCAACUGGUUAGCAGGCCACCAUAGGCAGCAAGGAUCCAGAGCUGCACAGGCCAAUAUGGUGGCCACAGGACAUGUGUGGCUAUUGAGUGUGUGAAACAUGGCUAGUCCAAGUUGCAAUGUGCUGUAAGCAUAAAAUAAACACCAGAUUUGGAAGCUUUUGUACCAAAACAUAGAUAUAUCCAUAAUAAUUUUUAUCUUGGUUACAUGUCAAAAUGAUAAUAUCUUAGACAUACUGAGUUAAAUAAAAUACACUAUGAAAUUAA